AUUGAACGCUGGCGGAAUGCUUUACACAUGCAAGUCGAGCGGCAGCACGGGGGCAACCCUGGUGGCGAGCGGCGAACGGGUGAGUAAUACAUCGGAACAUGCCCAGUCGUGGGGGAUAACACUUCGAAAGAAGUGCUAAUACCGCAUACGUCCUGAGGGAGAAAGCGGGGGAUCUUCGGACCUCGCGCGAUUGGAGUGGCCGAUGUCAGAUUAGCUAGUUGGGGGGGUAAAGGCCUACCAAGGCAACGAUCUGUAGCUGGUCUGAGAGGAUGAGCAGCCACACUGGGACUGGGACACGGCCCAGACUCCUACGGGAGGCAGCAUUGGGGAAUUUUGGACAAUGGGGGCAACCCUGAUCCAGCCAUUCCGCGUGAGUGAAGAAGGCCUUCGGGUUGUAAAGCUCUUUCGGCAGGAACGAAACGGCGAGCUCUAACAUAGCUUGCUAAUGACGGUACCUGAAGAAGAAGCACCGGCUAACUACGUGCCAGCCGCCGCCGUAAAAC
rnacentral:rRNA from 1 species